AAUUCCAUGCGCCACCAUAGGGUUAUGUUUUGCAAAUUGUUUACAUAACAAACAUUAUUUAAUGACGAUAAAGUUUUGUAUAGAUAAGUUAUUUACAUUAAUUCAUUCGUAUUCAAACCCAAGCAUAACGUGUUGUGUUAUAAUUAAUGGAGGACAAAAUGAAAAUUUAUAAUAUAAUUUCAAGGAGAAUAUAUCCGAUAGAAGAGAGGUUAAAAUUAUUAUAGACGGAUAAUUCAUGUUCUAUUAUGCGGAUACUGGAAUGGCAAAAGUCUUUGAAGCAGCCAUAAGCUACCAUCGUAAGAUGAGCUCCCCUAGAUCUGAUGGUACGGAUGAGGUUGAAGGAGCUGUAGUCAAGUUAAGGUCUCCUCCCCAAGUAAUAGUAAAAUCGUCAUCACGGGCGGACGACAUGAAUGUAUAUGUGUAUCAAAUAAUAAAAAACGCUCUGUAAUAUCCGAAAACUUUAUUUUCAUUUAAAGGAAUACACGCGUACCUAAUCUUAGAUUCAUCCGCACGAUGAAGCCAAGGAAUGCUAAGAAGUUUCGUCAUGUUAUUUAUUUUGGUAGAACAAAGUUGUUAUUAGCCUUUCUAUUACUUUAUUUAUAUUGAAUAUAACUUGACACAAGUUUUUGGUUCCAUAUAAAAAAGUACGAGCAUCUCCUGAACAAUACUAUUGUAUGGAUAUGAUAUCAUAUAGCAUGUGACGUUGCUGACUCCGCGGUACCACAACACGCCGUGGGAACAAAACGGAUUUAAAAUACCAAUCCAAAAAUCUUUGCCACUCUAAUAAGAGGACCUUAAUAUAGUUUAA